AUCUUUUCUAGUCCCAACCA
rnacentral:snRNA from 1 species